rnacentral:rRNA from 1 species
UGUAAAUAGCUUGUUAAAAAUGAUAUAGGUAAAAGGAGGAAAGAAAAAUAAUUUUAAAGAAAAAUUGUGUUAGUAAUUUUUAAUGAAAGUAGGAUAAAGACUAGAGAGAAAAGUACUGUGAAGGAAAGCAAUAAGACUUAGUAUAGGAAAAGUAAACUUUUGUGCCUUGUGUAUCAGAAAAAAUUUAUAUAAUUUAGUCAGUCUAAAGGUCUCGAAAUAAAAUAUAGUAAUUUUUAUAAAAUUUUCUUUUUAGAAAAAAAGAAUUUAAUGUAAAAUUUAAAGUGAAACGCUAGUUGAGUUUUAUUAUAUCUAGUUUUUUUAAAAAUAAAUUGAAUUUAUUUUUUAUAGCUAUAAGAUAUAAAAUUUAAUGGCAAGAGGGAACAGCUUCUUGUGUAAAAUGUUGUAAAAUAGUUAAGUAAUAGGAUAUUUUAUAGAUUAGGCUUAAAAGUAGCCAUAUUUAAAAAGUGUUUUAACUAAAUUAUGGUUAAAAAAUAUUUAGGGUAACUUUUUCAAUGUAUAAAAAAAUUAUUUGAAAUGUAAAAGAAUAAAAUAUAAUGAUUUUAUUAGUAAAAUUUGCUAUGAAAAUGAGUGUUAGAGUGGUAAAAAUUGUUUAUGAAAAAAAAUAAUAAUAAAAAGGAAUUCAGCAAAAAUUUUCUUUGCCUGUUUAUCAAAAACAUGUCUUUUUGAAAGUAGAGAAAGUCAAGCCUGCCCGCUGAGUAUUUUAAGGGCCGCGGUAUAUUGACCGUGCGAAGGUAGCGUAAUCAUUAGUUUUUUAAUUGGAAUCUUGUAUGAAUGGUUAGACAAAAGAAAACCUGUCUCUUUAUUAAAAGUUGAAUUUAACUUUUAAGUGAAAAGGCUUAAAUAAAUUAAAGGGACGAUAAGACCCUAUAAAGCUUAAUAUAAAAUGUUGUUUGGCUGAAUUUGAAUAUAAAGGGGUUACAAUAUGGUUUAUUUUAUUGGGGUGAUAAAAGUAAAAUGAAAAUUAACUGCUUUAAUUUUGAAACACUAAUAGUUGAGAUAAGUAAAUUAGAGAUCCUUAAUAAAGAUUACAAGUUCAAGUUACUUUAGGGAUAACAGCGUUAUUUUUUUUGAGAGUACAUAUCGAAAAAAGAGUUUGCGACCUCGAUGUUG